UACGAAGGGGGCUAGCGUUGUUCGGAUUUACUGGGCGUAAAGCGCACGUAGGCGGAUUGUUAAGUCAGGGGUGAAAUCCCGGAGCUCAACUCCGGAACUGCCUUUGAUACUGGCAAUCUUGAGGCUGGAAGAGGUUAGUGGAAUUCUCAGUGUAGAGGUGAAAUUCGUAGAUAUUGGGAAGAACACCAGUGGCGAAGGCGGCUAACUGGUCCAGAUCUGACGCUGAGGUGCGAAAGCGUGGGGAGCAAACAGG
rnacentral:rRNA from 1 species